GAAGGGCGAUACAUAGUGUGAAUUGCAGAACGUCGUGAACCACUAAGACCUUGAACGUAACUUACGGUCUUGACCGAGUCAAGAUCAGUGACAACCGAGUAUGGACUUAAUAUAACUUACUCUGGCUAUACAGAGGUAUUGAUCGAUGGAAGUCCUCCGUCGGUUUAAAUUAAAAUACCACCGUGUUGGUUUACUCUUGGCUUACUAAGGGUAGGCGAUGGUAUUAAUUUGACUUACUAUGUCAUCUCGGUUGUCUCAGAUGACCCGCUGAAUUUAA
rnacentral:misc_RNA from 1 species